rnacentral:lncRNA from 1 species
GUUAGGAGUGCUGAUUUCCCCACAGUCAAAUACUUAUGUAUAACUUUGAAUCCCCCAAAACUAAACUACGAAUAGCUCACUAUUGUCAAGAAGCUCUACUAAUAAGAUGUGCAGUUGAUUAACCCGUGUUUUGUAUGUGAAAUAUAUUAUAUACCAUGUUCUUACAAUAAAGGAGGCUAGAGGAAAGAAAAUAUUAAGAAAAUGAUAAGAAAGGAAAAUAUAUUUCAUUAAGUGGAAGUAGGUUUUCAUAAAGUUCUUCAUCCUCAUCAUCUUCACAUUGAGUAGGCUGAAGAGAAGACAGAAGAGUAUGGAAUGAUCUUGCUGUAUUUGGUUGGUGGAAGUGAAAUAAAAUUUGCAUAAAAGUGGAUCUGUGAAGUUCAAACUUGUGUUGUUUAAGGGAUGAGUGUGUAUAGUUUAUAACUCUUAAAUCCCAGUUCCGGUUAUCAUUAAUCCCAGGGUGGACACCACAUCUAUCAACAUUCAUAAAUUGUGCUUCUCUAAAUUUCCCGUCAGUAAAAACCUAUGUAGGUUAUUGGAAUAGUACGUACAAGGUGCCCAUGUAUUCUAUCCAAUACUUACAUAGUGUGGUUAUGUACAAAUUACUUAAUCCAGCAAAACAAGGAUGUAGACUGACAUACCCCCAAAUUAAUCAAUAAGCUAAACUGAGCUUGGCAGUCGGACAUUUAUUAUUUGCCUUUCAUAGUCUUCUAAUUCCUGAUGCUAAUAUUCCUAUCACACCACUUUCAUUAUUGAUUCUUGUCUACUCUACAUAUUCACUGUCAAAAUACUUCAACCUUGGAGUCAAUGGCUAUUACUCCAAUCUCCACUUUAUUAUACUAAUUUUUUUUUUGGUUGUCAUCCAGUAAGCUAUAGUCAGACUAGUACUCCCCCUCUAGAAAUACAUACACAGGAAUGUGACAUCAAAUUUAUCCUAACUUGUGAUGGUUAAUAUUUGGUGUCAACUUGAUGGGAUUGAAGGGUGCAAAGUAUUGUUUCUGGGUGUGUCUGUGAGGGUGUUGCCAAAGGAGAUUAACAUCUGAGUCAGUGGACUGGGAAAGGCAGACCCACUCUCAAUCUGGGUGGGCAUCAUCUAAUCAGUUGCCAGCAUGGCCAGAAUAAAAGCAGGCAGAAGAAUGUGGCAAUAGUAGACUGGUUUAGUCUUCUGGCCUGUAUCUUUCUUCCAUGCUGCGUGCUUCCUGCCCUCGAUCAUCAGACUCCAGGUUCUUCAACUUCGUGACUCGGACUGGCUUCUUUGCUCUGAAGAUUGCAGACAGCCUAUUGUGGGAGCUCACCUUGUGAUUGUGUUAUGUUUAAUUUCUUCACACCACUCAAAACUCAGCUUCUGAUUUCAAGAGUUCAACAACAGCCCUGAAGGAUUCUGUCUGCUUUACAGCUAUGUAAAAUAUGUUUAAUCUUCAGAUUCCUACAAGUUCCAGAUGACAAUGGAAUAUAAAAGACACAGUUAAUAGUUCUUUAUAUUAUACUUUAAGUUCUAGGGUAUAUGUGCACAACAUGCAGGUUUGUUACAUAUGUAUACAUGUGUCAUGUUGGUGUGUUGCACCCAUUAACUCGUCAUUUACAUUAGGUAUAUCUCCUAAUGCUAAUGCUAUCCCUCCCCCCUCCCCCACCCCACAACAUGCCCUGGCGUGUGAUGUUCCCCUUCCUGUGUCCAAGUGUUCUCAUUGUUCAAUUCCCACCUAUGAGUGAGAACAUGCAGUGUUUGGUUUUUCGUCCUUGUGAUAGUUUGCUGAGAAUGGUGGUUUCCAGCUUCAUCCAUGUCCCUACAAGGACAUGAACUCAUCAUUUUUAUGGCUGCAUAGUAUUCCACGGUGUAUAUGUGCCACAUUUUCUUAAUCCAGUCUAUCAUUGAUGGACAUUUGGGUUGGCUCCAAGUCUUUGCUAUUGUAAGCACCGUCAAAAAGUGAGCGAAGGAUAUGAACAGACACUUCUCAAAAGAAGACAUUUAUGCAGCCAACAGACACAAGAAAAAAUGCUCAUCAUCAUUGGCCAUCAGAGAAAUGCAAAUCAAAACCACAAUGAGACAUCAUCUCACACAAGUUAGAAUGGCGAUCAUCAAAAAGUCAGGAAACAACAGGUGCUGGAGAGGAUGUGGAGAAAUAGGAACACUUUUACACUGUUGGUGGGACUGUAAACUAGUUCAACCAUUGUGGAAGACAGUGUGGUGAUUCUUCAGGGAUCUAGAACUAGAAAUACCAUUUGACCCAGCCAUCCCAUUACUGGGUGUAUACCCAAAGGAAUAUAAAUCAUGCUGCUAUAAAGACACAUGCACACAUAUGUUUAUUGCGGCACUACUCACAAUAGUUUAUAGUUCUUAAGGGUGUUGAUAUCACAAAAAUUAUUGUUUUUCUUAAUAACACCAAAUAUUUGUUACUGUGAUAGUUUAUAUUUUGAAAUGGGCCGUAUGGUUCUACAACAGAGAGUUUCCAAAAAAAAAAUAUCUUUUGGUUUAUUUUAUUCCCAGAGGCAGCUUCUGAAAAGCCACUCUGCCCUAAGAAGUCAGCCUACAUAAUUGAAGACAAGUGAUGUAAAUAAUUUGCCCUGUAUGCUGGUCCCAUGUUCCUGGACUUCUCAGUCUCCCCCAGAACUGUAAAAAAUAAAUUUCCUUUCUUUAUAAAUUACCCAGUCUGUGGUAUUCUGUUAUAGUAAAGGAAAACAAGCUAAGGCAUUAUGUUAAAUCUUGUAAAAAGAACCUCUUUCCUAUGAUUAGAGCUCCUCUCAUAUGCAUAUAGAAAUCCAAUGUUGAAGCUAUCAUAAUUCUACUGAACCAUCAACUUCAACCCACCCAGGUAAGAUUAUGCCUUCUUGAAUAUAAGAGAAACUUCCCCAAUCCCUUACCCAACCAAAAGGAUGAAUCUUCGAGAAAAAUAUCAAAAAGCCCUGCUUCAAAUCAGUAAAUAUUUGGUGGUAGGUGAGUGGUGUUUUCAAAUAAUAAAUACAAUCAUUCACUCUCUGUUAUGACUUUUUGAAGAUAAUUCAUUUUUGUUUUUCUUCUCUUAAGGGCUGAUUUAAACUUUCACAAAUGUAACAUCAUAUUGAAUCACAUCACAUUGAAUUUGUAAUGAAAAAAUGUGUUCCCCAGACGUCUUAUGACCUCUGAAACUUGGAAACCAAGUUGGCAACUGAGGAAAAAACUAUUAUUUCCAUCAAAAACUAUGGCAACAAAAACAUGGUCAUGUUCAUUUUAAUUACUUCUGCCAUUUUACUUGUCCCUCUUUCUAGUUAUCUUUCUUAAGAAUAUUAAUCAGUCUAAAGAGAAUAAAUGAUUUAUUAUUUUCAGAGAGGUAGGUGUUUUGAACAGAUCUUAGAGCCAUGUGGGUCAGUGUUGUCAAUCCCAGAUUUAUCUGUUUAAAAUGCAUGCCUCAUGGACUUACACUUAUUAAUGUUAUAAUGUAGGUAAGAAUCUUACCCAGUGCUCAGUACAUACUAAGUUGUGGGUAAAACCUGCUUAUUACUAAUUAUUCAACAAUUCACAGAAAAAUGGAAAAUUCAGUUGUUCAAAUUAUCACCAAUAUGGGUGUUUUCUUUAUAAUGUGAUAAGAUUAUUUGAAUUUUAUGACACAUAUGCCAUGAAUUUAAGAUAAGUAUAAUAUGGUUGCUUUAAGUUUUUCUUUUUCAAUUACAAUAAUAAUAAUACAAACCUCCUUAGAUCUAUACACUUGAGAUAUUUAAAACACAAUGUGUAUGCAAAACAUCAUAACCUGGUUCCUCAAAUCAACAAGGGACUAUGAGUUUUAUUUGUAUGAGAGGUCUUGGACCUGUGGUAUUUUGUUUACUACUUAUCACUUUUGAUGGCCACCCAUUUGAAUAGAGAUCUAAUCUGGCUCUGGGGGCAGGGAAGAUCUUGGGACAGGAAAACUACCCCUUUCUUUAGGAGAUGGCCCAUUGAUCUUUGCUUUUAUCAGCUCCUGCAACUAUCAUUUGAAGGUAAAGAUCAAGUUAUUUACAAAUUGCUUUAGAUUGAAAGGCAUUAGACUAGGCAAGGUGAAAAUUAAGAGCUUGUGAAUACAUUGUAGGUGGAAAUAAUUUUUGGAAACGAUUUCCCAGUAUAUAUAAUACACAAUUUCUAAAAUGAACAAAAGUUUGAAAUAAGUUUUAAAUAAGAUGUUGAAAAGAUGUAAGCGUAGCUGCUUUAAUCUUAAUCAAUGCAACUUGUGAUGAGGUAAUGAAGAGCAGGCAAUCAGUCAGAACCCAAUCUACCCAAAUGAAAUCUCAAACAACAGAGGAUAUUUUUUACUUUAGUUUGUGUUAAGAGAGAUGGGCAAUGUAAGUGCUAUGCAGAUUUAAUGUGCUAAUGAAAUAAAUUCAUCAAGAUUUAAAUUAUGGAGGAAAUUAAAAUAAGAAACUGUUCUGUACACAAAAGAGACUAUGUCCCAAGAGAAUAUCCAGCCUUGGUAAAGAACAACCCUAAUGAAUUUUAGAAUAGAUUUACAAAAUAUUAUAUAUCACCUGUUUUUAAAGACUUUUUAUUCUUUAGUUUCCUUAGUCAGUCCCUAGAAUUUUUAUUUAGGAAAGACCCUAGAAAUAGAAAUCUGAAAUGCUCAGCCAACAAAAGCUUUGUGAAGUUGUUUGCCCAGCCAAUGUAUUGUUGGUGGUUAGAUCAUUAGUCUACUACUUCGAUUUUGGGUGCUCAGUGAAGUACCUGGAGGCAUUCAAGGGUGUGAGCACAGAUAAUUUAAGGGAAUUAAUUUCUAAUUUAAAUAAUUUCAUCUUUUAUGUUAAAUAUUUCCUAAGGCCAUUUGAUGGAGCUUCAAGUUCUAAUUUUCUUUUUUUUUUCUUUUGAGAUGGAGUGUUGCUCUGUCGCCCAGGCUGGAGUGCAGUGGCAUGAUCUCGGCUCACUGCAAGCUCCGCCUCCCAGGUUCAUGCCAUUCUCCUGCCUCAGCCUCUCAAGUAGCUGGGACUACAGGCACCCGCCACCACGCCUGGCUAAUUUUUUUUGUAUUUUUUAGUAAAGACGGGGUUUCACCAUGUUAGCCAGGAUGGUCUCGAUCUCCUGAUCUCGUGAUCUGCCCUUCCUCAGCCUCCCAAAGUGCUGGGAUCACAGGCGUGAGCCACCAUGCCCAGCCCAAGUUCUAAUUUUCUGCCAUGUUAUAAUAAACCUCUCCCAAUUUUUCAAAGUAAAAUAUCUGUUGCCCAGCACUAAACUAGCAGGGUGAUUGCCCCAGAAAAUUACAAAGAUCCUAGGCAUCACUACUGAGACCAAUCAAAAUGUUUUUAUAAUGAUUUUGAAAAAAUAAAGAAUUUUAAUGACAGGAUAAAAAAUAAAUACAUUUGAAAAUCAAAUGAUUCCAACUAUCAGUUUUCAACAAAACUAAAGAAUUUACCUACUUGGAUUGUUUGUUGAUAGGCCACUUAAAAAUAAUAUUUGCUGAAGAAUUAGAAUGAGACAUUUACAAACACCUGAAAAGAGUUGAAAGAAUUCAAUGUCAUUGCUAGAAUAGCACACUUAUCCUCAUCUAUUUGUUUAUGUGGACAAGUUAUUUCAAUACCUACAUCUAUAAAGAUGAGUGUAUUAGUUCAUUUUCAUAUUGCUGUUACAGACAUGCCCGAGACUGGACAAUUUACAAAAGAAAGAAGUUUAUCAGACUUACAGUUCUAUGUGGCUGAGGAAACCUCACAAACAUGGCGGAAGUUGAAAGGCACAUCUCACAUGGUGGUAGACAAGAGAAGAGAACUUGUGUAGGGAAACUCUGAUUUUUAAAACCAUCAGAUCUGGCGAGACUCAUUCACUAUCAAGAGAACAGUGCAGGAAAGACCCGCCCCCAUAAUUCAAUCACCUCUCACCAGGUUCCUCCCAUGACAUGUGGGAAGUACAAUUCAAGAUGAGAUUUGCUUGGGGGCACAGCCAAACCAUAUUAUUCCACCACUGGCCUCUUCUAAAUCUCAUGUCCUCAUAUUUCAAAAACCAAUCAUGCCUUCCCAAUAGUCCUCCAUAGUCUUAACUCAUUUCAGCAUUAACUCAAAAGUCUACAGUACAAGGUCUCUUCUGAGACAAGUCAAGUCCCUUCUGCCUAUAAGCAUGUAAAAUCAAAAGCAAGUUAGUUACAUCCUAGAUACAAUGUGGGUACAGGCACUGGGUAAAUACAGCCAUUCCAAAUGGGAGAAAUUGGCCAAAACAAAGGGGCUACAACCCCAUGUAAGUCUGAAAUCCAGCAGAGCAGUCAAAUCUUGAAGCUCCAAAAUGAUAUUUUGACUCAAUGUCUUACAUCUCAGUCAUGCUGAUGCAAAAGAUUGCUUCCUGUGGUCUUAGGCAGCCUCGCUCCUGGCUGUUUCCAUGGGCUUGUGUUGAGUGUCUGUGGCUUUUCCAGGCUCACAGUGCAAGCUGUCAGUGAAUCUACAAUUCUGGGUUCUGUAGAAUGAUGUCCCUCUUCUCACAGCUCCACUAGGUAGUGCCCCAGUAGGGACUCUCUGUGGGGACUCCAAACCCACAUUUCCCUUCCAUGCUGCCCUAGCAGAGGUUGUAUAUGAGAGCCCUGCCCCUGAAGCAAACUUCUGCCUGGGCAUCCACUCGUUUCCAUACAUCCUCUGAAAUGUAGGCGGAGGUUCCCAAACCCCAAUUCGUCACUUCUGUGUACCAGCAGGGUCAACACCAUAUAGAAGCUGCCAAGGCUUGGGGCUUGAAUCCUCUGAAACCAUAGCCCAAGCUCUAGGUGUACCCCUUUCAGCCAUGGCUGGAGUAGCUGGGAUGUAGGGCACCAAGUCCUGCGCAUAGCACUGGGACCCUGGGCCCGACCCACAUAACCACUUUUUCCUCCUAGACCUCCAGGCCUGUGAUGGGAGGGGCUUGUGAAGAGCUUUGAAAUGCUUUGGAGACAUUUUCCCUGUUGUCUUUGGGAUUAACAUUUGGCUCCUAGUUACUUAGGCAAAUUUCUGCAGCUGGCUUGAAUUUCUCCUUAGGAAAUGGGAUUUUCUUUUCUAACGCAUUGUCUGGCUGCAUAUUUUCUAAACUUUUAUGCUGUGCUUCCCUUUUAAAACUGAAUAGCUUCAACAGCACCCAAGUCACCUCUUGAGUGCUUUACUGCUUGGAAAUUUAUUCCACCAGAAACCCUAAAUCAUCUCUCUCAAGUUCAAAGUUCCACAAAUCUCUAGGGCAGAGGCAAAAUGCUGCCAGUCUAUUUGCUACAACAUAACAAGAGUCACCUUUGCUCCAGUUCCUAAAAAGUUCCUCAUUUUUAUCUGUGACCACCUCAGCCUAGACUUUAUUGCCCAUAUUUCUAUUAGCAUAUUGGUCAAAGGCAUUCAACCAGUCUCUAGGAGGUUCCAAACUUUCCAACAUUUUCCUGUCUUCUUCUGAGCCCUCCAAACUGUUCCAACCUCUGCUUGUUACCCAGUUCCAAAGUGGCUUCCACAAUUUCAGGUAUCGUUUCAUCAGUGCCCCACCCUACUGGUACCAAUUUACUGUAUUAGUCCAUUUUCAUGCCACUGAUAAAGACACACUUGAAACUGUGCAAUUUAAAAAUAAAGAGGUUUACUGGACUUACAGUUCCACAUGGCUAGGGAGACAUCACAAUUAUGACAGAAGGUAAAAGGUCCAUCUGACAUGGUGGCAGACAAGAGAAGAGAGCUUGUAUAGGGAAAUUCCCAUUUUUAAAACCAUCAGAUCUCGUGAGACUCAUUCAUUAUCAUGAGAACAGUGCAGGAAAGACCUGCCCCAUAAUUCAACCACCUCCUACUGGGUUCCUCCCAUGACACAUGAGAAUUGUGGGAGUUACAAUUCAAGAUUAGAUUUGAGUGAGCGCACAGCCAGACCAUGUCAAUGACCUAAAAAAUAGUAAGAAUAGAAUGUAUGGUAAACUCUGUCCCAUUGUAAUAAUAAAUUAAUCAUUAAUAUAAAUUACGUUCUCAUAGAGAGCUGUGUUUUCAAAAAUCACUUUAAUUUGUUAAAGUUGUUUAUGAAAACAUGAUAAGUUUACAUCAUUUAUAACAGGGACUAAUAAUUACUAGAAGAAUAACUUACUCUUGAUUUUUUUUAUUUACAGAU